UGGAAAUUGUAAAACAAAAAAAAAGAAAAUCGAUUUUCCAAUGCGAUAAAAACGAAAACCUUAAUAAAUAUGAUUAGAAAAUUUUACAACACUGUAAUAUUCUAUUUCGGUAAAGGAAUAAGCAUCCAUUCUGCUUCUAUAUUUUCACCUUUCAGUGAAUGAGUCCUUCGUUUUUUUUGACAAACAAUUAAAACAAAAAUUAGAGGAUAUAAUUUGAAAUCCUCAUUCACCGAGAUUUAAGUGAAAAGGAUCUGUGUUUAUGCUUGUUUUUUCCUUGCCAAGGAGCAUUUCUGCCAUACAUAAACCCGUGGCAGGAGCUUGAGUUAUCCCCCAGUUGGCGUGACCCGCUGCAACAAAUACACCAGACUUGGUUGUUGAUAUUAUCGGGAUACCUGUUAUUCUACUGGUAGGAAGGAACUUAAAAGAUGCGUCUAAGUAGUUACUCUUCGUAUUCUCCGAGAGCACCAAAUCGGUCAUUUCUUUCAAUUCGAUAAUUUCAAAAGGAUUAAAAAAACAUCGAUUACUAUCUUUUGGCAGCAAAUGGAAUUUUGGAGUUCCCAUAAAAAUAAGCUGCUCCCGGUUUUUACUGAAAAUUUCGGUUGUUUUGCAAAUGUUUAGAUUACCCAUGGUAUUUAAACAACACACAACAAUGCUGUCGCCAACGGGAAAAUUUCCUACCGAUAGGUGAAUUAUGGGAAUGCAUAGACCUGCAAUACCAGUAAAUGGUAAUAGAUAACCAGUCCAAGGCCCAGCACUCACCAGCGUUUUAUGCACCUGUGCUUUUAUUAUUGUAUCUUCAGCUUCUUGUUUUGGAACGUAUGUAAUAUGGUGUUUACUAACCUCUUUCACACUUCCAAAUAUAAACUUUACUCCUCGUUUUUCUAUUUCUUUUGCCAUAAAUUGACAAAACAAUUUUGGAUUGAUCAUUGCAAAAUCGUUGCCGGAACCGAUACUAGAACCUAAAUGGUUAGUCUCUAUAUGACUUAUACAAUAAAGUUAUUAUUUUUUUUUGGUAGCACUUAUGAGCUUACAUUUUUGCAUGCGCUCUCGUUGAAGCCAUUGCAAAGUAUCGGGAACUUUGGCAACAUUGGUAUUGUCCCAUUUCAUCUUACAAAACCAAGAAUUGGCAGUCCUAUAUUCCCAGUUUUUCUUCCCAUCAAAUUUUUUAUCCAAUCCUUCAUAAAGCUUCAAAGCGAGAGUUGAAAGUGGCUGUAUGAUUUCAUUCUGGCACAGUUUUGUCAAGAUUGCAGAAUCAAUGCCGGAGCUACCUCCUGCUAUUUCUUUUGAUUCAAAUAUAAAUAUGUCCAAUUCUCCUUUUUUGUAUUCUUGUUCUUCUGUUAAGUAAAACGCCGUACAAAUUCCAAUAAUGCCACCUAAAAAUCAUCGUCAGCAUGCUCACUCAUCAUUUAUGAAACUGUUGUUCUCCAAAAUUACCUCCUACUAUUCCUAUCUUUGUCUUAUUUCCUUCUCUACUUGUAGCGCUCAUAUUUGAAGUUGGAAAGUUGACUUGAAACACAAUCAUCUUGCUGUAACGCUUCUAAACAUUACGUUAUCCUCACCAGUAUUUCCUUCAAUCUCUCUUAUUUUUUUACCAUUUUGAGAAUAAAAUAAAUAGCAAUAAUAAUAAUAACAAAACGGUUCAAUAUUCAACAGUUUUUGCCAUUCAGAAUGCCUUUCAUAAAUUGCUAUGGCGAGAUAUACGAUUCUUUCAUGAAUACCAAACGAUUGUAAAAAAGGAAAAAAAUUACAAAAUACUCCUCCUAAUCUAUAAAGUCAAGUUCGCAUAAACAAACGGAUUUUUAAAUUUUUGAAAUGCCAGAUUCACAUUCUUCAGAUAGUUUACAUAUUAUUUACACAUGCCUUAAUUAAAAUUACUGC